rnacentral:rRNA from 1 species
UACAGAGGGUGCAAGCGUUGUUCGGAAUUAUUGGGCGUAAAGCGCGUGUAGGCGGCUUUGCAAGUCGGGUGUGAAAGCCCUCAGCUCAACUGAGGAAGUGCGCCCGAAACUGCAGAGCUUGAGUACCGGAGAGGAUGGUGGAAUUCCCCAAGUAGAGGUGAAAUUCGUAGAUAUGGGGAGGAACACCGGUGGCGAAGGCGACCAUCUGGACGGAUACUGACGCUGAGACACGAAAGCGUGGGGAGCAAACAGG